rnacentral:rRNA from 1 species
CACGUAGGCGGACUCUUAAGUCGGUGGUGAAAUCCUGGAGCUCAACUCCAGAACUGCCUUCGAUACUGAGAGUCUCGAGUCCGGGAGAGGUGAGUGGAACUGCGAGUGUAGAGGUGAAAUUCGUAGAUAUUCGCAAGAACACCAGUGGCGAAGGCGGCUCACUGGCCCGGUACUGACGCUGAGGUGACGAAAGCGGUGGGGAGCAAACA